rnacentral:tRNA from 1 species
GCCGGCGUAGCUCAGUAGGCAGAGCAGCGGUUUCGUAAACCGCGGGUCGGAGGUUCGACUCCUCUCGCCGGCUCUA